rnacentral:miRNA from 1 species
UGUGUGUGUGUAUGUCUGUAUGUAUGUGUAUGUGUAUACAUAUAUAUACACACACACACACACACACACACACACACACA